rnacentral:rRNA from 1 species
AGUGAACGCUGGCGGUAGGCCUAACACAUGCAAGUCGAACGGCAGCACAGUAAGAGCUUGCUCUUACGGGUGGCGAGUGGCGGACGGGUGAGGAAUACAUCGGAAUCUACUUUUUCGUGGGGGAUAACGUAGGGAAACUUACGCUAAUACCGCAUACGACCUACGGGUGAAAGCAGGGGAUCUUCGGACCUUGCGCGAUUGAAUGAGCCGAUGUCGGAUUAGCUAGUUGGCGGGGUAAAGGCCCACCAAGGCGACGAUCCGUAGCUGGUCUGAGAGGAUAACCGCCAACACUGGAACUGAGCCACGCCCCAGCCCCCUAGGGGAGGCAGCAGUGGGGAAUGUUGGACAAGGGGCGCAAGCCUGCCCCACCAAUACGGGGUGGGAAAAAAAGCCUUGCGUUUUCUAAAGCCUUUUUGUUGGGAAAAAAAAACAACAGGUUAACACCCCGCUUUUCUGACGGUCCCAAAAAAAAAAGCCCCGCCUAUCUUCGUC